rnacentral:lncRNA from 1 species
GUUUAUUUUCUCAUCCCUAGUGGCAAUGACUCAGGACCAAGUCAUCCCUUUUUUUACAGGAAUUACCUAUGAAGGAAACUGGAAACUCUGUGAUGUCUCUCUGGCGUCUUUCCCUCCAGCUGGUGCCUCUGAACCUCUUCUGAAGGGGCCUGUGCAGAGCAGAGCUUCUGUAUUGCUGAUCCCAUAGAUUUGCUUCCUUCAGUUUCUGGAAGCAGGAACAUCAGUUAAUCAGGCUGCAGUUACGCAGAGGAUGCAAAUACUAGAGCCACUGAUGACCACAAGGUGUGCAUAUCUGAUCUUGAUCUAUAAUUGACAGUACAUAAAAUCACCACAGAGCACAGAGCACAGAACCCUCUAUGAUGGCAAUGCUCUGGCAACUCACAACAAAUAGAAAACAAAACCAGAAGUCAGGACUUGAAAAAACAGCUGAAGAUACCCAGAAAUGGCAACAAGAAAUUUUCACGGGUCCAGACAAUGAACAUACUAUCAAUAAGUCAGAGGCAGAAAUACUAUCACUAAAACCAUGGAAGAAGUCCUGGAAUCUCGGAUUCGAGUGCCGAGGGCUCAACAGGUGGUGCGGGGAUAAAGUUCUGGCAAAUCAAGUUCAGACUGUGAUGGCAACAGUGAGGGCUGCAGGCAGGUGAUGAGGUGCUGCUGGGGCCCAGGCCUGAGGAAAGAAACUACCUAGAAACAGCAAUACUUGACCUGAAAAUAAGGAUCCCAUUUGAACUCCAGCAUAAGCCUCUUCAGAACUCCACGCUUGGACUGAAUAUGUUCCUGGAGGAGUAGAGCACAGUUUCAUUAUUCCAGCAGAGUUGCACCCGCUUGCCUCAAGAGUUAAUUUGGCAGCUUCACUGCAAGGGACCGACUCAGAAGGUACAAAGUGUAUUACAGCUGAAAUGUUAUUAAAGUCUGUGCCUCCUUAGAAAUCCUUUCACAGCU